rnacentral:rRNA from 1 species
GAGUUUGAUCAUGGCUCAGAUUGAACGCUGGCGGAAUGCUUUACACAUGCAAGGCGAACGGCAGCACGGACUUCGGUCUGGUGGCGAGUGGCGAACGGGUGAGUAACAUAUCGGAACGUAUCCAAUAAUGGGGGAUAACUAAUCGAAAGGUUGGCUAAUACCGCAUACGCCCUACGGGGGAAAGCUAGGGACCUUCGGGCCUGGAGUUAAUGGAGCGGCCGAUAUCUGAUUAGCUAGUUGGUGGGGUAAAGGCCCACCAAGGCGACAAUCAGUAGCUGGUCUG